UUCAACUUCAGCUCCUUCCAUGGCUUUGGUUCUUUUCGCGGCUUCAGGAGGACUUCAACUUUGGCUCCUUUCAUGACUUCAGGGCUUUUCACGGCUUUGGGACUUCGGACAGGUGGGACAUCAGCAGGUGCGGUAUGGUUUCGGCGCUGUCAAGGGGGCCCACCUAUUUUGAAAAGUGCAGCACAGCCGGGCCCCCCUUUAGGCCUGGGCCAGUACAGCAGUACCCCGUGUGCCCCUCUGAUGGCUGCCCUGCUUGCUGCAGAGCGUGUCCUUACAUUGUGGUGCUUAUAAGGCACAUAUCGGAUUAUUUGGAGCAAAGACUGGAGAAACAGCGACGGUAGAGUCAACGGACUAUGCAGGUGGCACAUAGAUUAAAUGACACUGAAACAUUCCUUAAAAGUUAUAUCUUAUCAACUUACCCCACAGGCCGCUCAUGUUUAAAGCAAUUAAACUGACAAUAUUACAUAAACCCUACAUUUACUAUAUAUUUAGACCCAUUAAGUCCAAGCUCUCUACCCCUGGCAGCCACUGCAAAGAAUACAGAUUGAGUUUUGAGUACUCUAUCACCAAGUGUAUUAUUUACACUGAAGCUGUGUAUACCCAAUGCGCACCCACACCGUAUUUAAAUUUUUCUUUAACAGUACAGACAAUAAACAGUAACAGACACUGCAGCUUUCCUUAAUGAUUAAUGGUUUAAUGAAGAAUAUUGAUUUCCGUGUAACUAUGGACAGCACCAGCAGCACUAACCUUUCUGCACAUGAUUCUCCUCAGUGAUCAACAAUCCUUUUUCAUGUGCAUUUUUACAGACAUAAGGUAAUAACAUGCAAGUGAAUUUAGAGGUAAUUCAAAAUGUCUUUAUGGAAAAGUUUGUUUUUUGAACAGUUGUUCAUGUUCAUUUGGCAACACAUGUUAAUAUGUUUAAACCUUUGUCUUUAUUAUUGUAGUGGUUUCUGAAUUAUUUACCCUUGUGCUCUGCCUUUUCCACCCGGCGUUUUAAUUUCUAUUGAGUUGCUUGG